AUUGAACGCUGGCGGCAGGCUUAACACAUGCAAGUCGAGCGGGGUGAGGUGCUUCGGUACUGAUCCGAGCGGCGGACGGGUGAGUAAUGCUUAGGAAUCUGCCAUUUAGUGGGGGACAACAUUCCGAAAGGAAUGCUAAUACCGCAUACGUCCUACGGGAGAAAGCAGGGGAUCUUCGGACCUUGCGCUAAAUGAUGAGCCUAAGUCGGAUUAGCUAGUUGGUGGGGUAAAGGCCCACCAAGGCGACGAUCUGUAGCGGGUCUGAGAGGAUGAUCCGCCACACUGGGACUGAGACACGGCCCAGACUCCUACGGGAGGCAGCAGUGGGGAAUAUUGGACAAUGGGCGGAAGCCUGAUCCAGCCAUGCCGAGUGUGUGAAGAAGGCCUUUUGGUUGUAAAGCACUUUAAGCGAGGAGGAGGCUACCUGGAUUAAUACUCUAGGAUAGUGGACGUUACUCGCAGAAUAAGCACCGGCUAACUCUGUGCCAGCCGCCGCAGUAA
rnacentral:rRNA from 1 species